rnacentral:lncRNA from 7 species
AAAUUGGAGGUAGGGUGAGGGAAGGGGAGGGUUGAAGGGAAACUAAUGAAACAGAGGACAAAGGAGAAUAACAAGUCAAAAGCAAUGCAUGUAAAUACAGAGCAAGCAAGUAGGAAAGCUAGGCAUAGCACAGCAAAAGAGAGCACAGCAACAGAAGGCAAAGAAUGACAAAAAGCAACCUUGCAGGAAUGGAGGACUCUGGCCAGAGCUGUGCCCCUGCUUGCCACAGGAGCUGCGCGGGAGGAGAAGAAUGUGGGCCAAAAGAGCAAAGGAAAGCAAGGCAAAAUAGCAGCCAGAGCCACGAGAAUCAAGAAGUCAGUGAAGAGCAGGAAGGUAAGUUUCCCUUAAAGCAAGGGGAAUGGUAGUGGAUGGGGCAAAAGAGAGGGGAGGGGAGAGGGAAGUGAAG